UACGUAGGGUCCAAGCGUUAUCCGGAAUCACUGGGCGUAAAGCGUGCGUAGGUGGCGUGUUAAGUGUGAUGUUAAAUCGCGGGGCUCAACCCUGUCGGUGCAUCGCAUACUGGCAUGCUAGAGGAAAGCAGAGGCAAGUGGAAUUGGUAGUGUAGCAGUGAAAUGCGUAGAUAUUACCAGGAACACCAAUGGCGAAGGCAGCUUGCUGGGCUUUUUCUGACACUGAGGUACGAAAGCGUGGGGAGCGAACGGG
rnacentral:rRNA from 1 species